CAAAGGAAUUGACGGGGACCCGCACAAGCAGAGUAGCGCGUGGUUUAAUUCGACGGUAAUCGAAGACCUUACCAGGGUUUGAAAUGUAUCUGCAUGCCUUAUGAAGGUAGGGAGGCCUUCGAGGGUGAUACACAGGUGCUGCAUGGCCGCCGUCAGCUCGUGUCGUGAGAUGUAGGGUUAAGUCCCGAAACGAGCGCAACCCCUAUUCUAUGUUACAAGUGUCUUAGAAAACCGCCUCGGUAAAACGAGGAGGAAGGUGGGGAUGACGUCUGGUCCGCAUAGCCCUUAUGUCCUGGGCUACACACACGCUACAAUGGCCGAUACAGUAGGAUGCCAAAUCGUAAGAUGGAGCUAACCCUCAAAAUCGGUCUCAGUUCGGAUUGAGGUCUGAAAUUCGACCUCAUGAAGUUGGAUUUGCUAGUAAUCGUAGAUCAGCAAUGCUACGGUGAAUACGUUCCCGGGCCUU
rnacentral:rRNA from 1 species